rnacentral:pre_miRNA from 1 species
UUGACUCUUCGUCUUAUUUGAAAUUUUUUAUGAUUAGUAUUUUUAUUAUUACUGCAUGAUAAAAUAUAAAUAGUACUUUAUAUAUGAUUAUUUUUUUGAUUUUUAAUAAAUUUUUCAAAUAAGACGGAUGGUCAA